UUUUUUUUUUUUUUUUGAAAGUUAGGAUAGUUGACCAUGCUGGCUAAGCAGAAAACUCUGAGCUUAUAUAAAGCAUAUAAUGAUGUUAUCAAUAAAAUUAAAAAACCGAAAUUACCGUAGUGGUACAUAUUUAAUUAUGCACGCCUCUCACUGUGCUGUAUGGUAAUAACGGCGAGCAAAUCACAUAAACCGUGUAGCUGGUGUUACUUUUAAUAGGGAAGGGAACUAAUAUUUAUUGAACUCUUAAUAUCUGCUGGGCUCCAUGCUGGGUGCUUUACAUAUGUUAUCUCAUUUAAUAUGUAGCUAAACAAGGCAUUUCCAGGGUCCACCGUGGCUGGAGGAAGCAGAGGCUACACAUCCAGGUCCUUUGGAAGACCCAGGAUUCUUUUCUUUGUCAGAAGCAUAUAUUUUCCCAGUGGUCCAGGAUCCUCUGCCUUCUCCCCAGUUUGAGAAUUUGGACUUCCUGGGCCCUACAGUCUUAGCUACAGUUGGAUGCAAUGAAGACAUGGCUGCUUCCUUCUGUAUCUUGUCUCACCUUCAGGUUUCACUAAGGGCUGGGAGUUGUGCUCCAGCCUGCAGACUGGAAUUCUGUUUGAAUAUAAGGAAACACAACCCAAAGCAGCUCCUUCUCUGAGUUUGAGGGAGUGUGAAUAGGAAACUGCUGUAGUUCUCAGCUCUGCUCUUCCUCUUCCAUGAAUAGUCUCAUGAAGUGAAAGGAAGAAAGCCAGGUGGUGUGCUUGAAGAGGAGGCCCCUCCACACCCCUCCUAUGCCCUUCAAAAUAUGUUUAUUGACAGUACCUGAUAUUUUACUACCUAAAGUAAAGGGAGUAGAGAAUUACUUGAAAGUCUGAUAACAAUCUUGACUCCAUGUCCCAGAAAAAUGUACCUAUGUUGACACUUCAAGUGAAAACUACUUGGUUUGUUUAUUUAUUUUUUAAAAGAUUUUAUUCAUUUAUUCAUGAGAGACAGGGAGAGAGGCAGAGACAUAGGCAGAGGGAGAAGCAGGCUCCCUAUGGGGAGCCUAAUGUGGGACUCGAUCCCAGGACCCUGGGAUCACGACCUGAGCCAAAGGUAGAUGCUCAACUAUUGAGCCACUCAGGUGCCCUGAAAACUACUUGGUUAAAAUAUUCAUACAAACCACCAAGGAAAAUCUCUGGGAGGGGGACGGGGGGAGCAGUAGGGAGAGUGCAUCUUAUUUCAUUCUUCAGUAGGGUUAUUUUAUCAUCUGAGUACCUGAGAUGUGCUUGAGGUGACAGGAGCUGAUGAGAGGAGGUGGGUGGUAGUGAUAAAAAAUUAUUUUGAAGUAUGAGCCCUUGAUGAGGAAGGGAAGCUCUGUUGGGGCAGGUGGUAGGGCUUAUAGAGAGGGCCUUGGAGGGCCAUCCAUCAGGGUGGUCCAUGGGCCAGUGGUGUGGUCAUUGCCCAGGAGUUUGUUAGAAACAGAGGAUGGCCCUUCCCCAGAUAUACUGAAUCAGAGGCUGCAUUGUAACAAGAUCCCACGUUCAAGUUUGAGAAGCAUGGAUGUGUAUCAAAGAUACCAGCAUAGGAGUAGGGAGUGGGCAUUGAGAUUAGAGGAAGCCAGAGAGCAGGACUAGGACUGAUGCAGAGAGGUGCCUGUGAAGGUACCUAUGAGUGCUUACAAGGGAGAGAAAGAGAGCUCGCACAGGGGAAGAGACAAUGGAAAGAGACCUUGAAGUGGUACCCCAAGGGGAAGGUGGGCAUAUCCAAAGUCUGGAGAAGAAAGUCAGGGACAGACUGUAACAACAGUUGUUUACUAUAAUCUGUUAGGUGCUGAAUGGUACAUCAUAACUUAGCAUCGAUUAUGUUUUCUAAAUACUCACUGGUAUCAAAGAUUUGUCAUGCUAAAUUAUUUAUAGAGUAAGUAACUUUAGGACAUCUUCUAUCUCUUCCCCUUGAUGAAUCUUUUGAACUUAUCAUUACCUUGUUUUCUUUGGCACAUUACCUGUGCCACCCAGGGAGAUGAGUCUCUCGAAAAUCUCAGGGGGUCUUAAGUCAUCAGCUCCUAUCUCUGACAUGCUUUGGAUGCCCUUUUCUCUUUUCUAAGAGGAACUGUAUCAAAUACUUUAUCAAAUACUUGUUGACACAUUACAUUAGAAACUGUUGCGUGAUUUCUGACUGUUCCUUUGUUUUGUGAAGGCACUUGAAAAGAAGUUAGAAUUUUUGGAGCAGAAACAGAAUGAUACUAUGAUUUUGGUAAAGUUAGAGUCUACAUUCCCUCACUGAGAAAAUCCUAGCCACAUGGUAUGGGUUGAAUUGUGUCCCCCUCCAAAAAAAUCCUAACCCCUGGAACCUGUGAAUAUGGCCUUAUUUGGAAAUGAGAUCUUUAACAGAUAUAAUCAAGUUAAGAUCCGCCCAUUAGGGUGGGCCCUUAAUCCAAUAUGACUGAUGUCUUUAUAAGAAAAGAGAAGACACAGACACAGAGAGAAGGUGGUCAUGAGGAUGUGGAGGCUGCUAUAAAGCCAACAAACUCUUGGGGCUACCAGAAACUGGAAGAGGCAAAGAAGAGUUUUCCUCUAGUGACAUGGAAGACUGUGGCUCUGCCAACACCUUGAUUUUGGACUUCUAGCUUCCAGAAUUGUGAGAUAGUAAAUUUCUGUUGUUCUCAGGCAUCUAGUUUGUUAUGGCAGCCUAGGAAGCUAAUAUACCACGCUUAAAUAUUUUUCUAUAAUUAGUAAUUUUGAUCUAAUUUUAAAUAGGGUCAUUAGUUUCAUAUACCACUAUUUGAGAUGGAAUAGUCAUUAGAGUCAUUAAAGAAACUAAAACAUUUUCCCAAUUAAUACUAAAUUCAAAUCCCCUGCUCGUUCGUAUAGGCACUUGCAUAAUUUUUAUAUGAUCUGUAUAUGCUGUGGUUCAAAUUUACCUUUUCAUAAAAUGAUGAAACUGCUAUUUUUCUUUUAGAAUUAAAAACCUCAUUUGUGUACCUUAGAGAAAACAAUGUAAGUUAACGAUGUCCUACACCUCGUUAGCACUUACCUGAGAUAGUCUAAAUAAUUUUGAUUAAAAAAUAUCAAAAAGUGUAUUUACUCCUAAACCAAUGAACUAUUUGAGAAAAAUGAAAAACAAGUAUUUAAAUAUUGUCUGAUGUUAGCGGCUGGUGGUGUCUAAGAUAUUACUUAUUGAAAGAAGUGGCAAAACAUGAGAACAACACAAAUGGCUAAGGAAAAAGAAAACUCAACAAAAUAGCUAAUGCAAUACUAGACUAUAUGGUCAAGGGAUGCCAAAGUCUCAAACCUAUUUUGAGACCAGAGGCAGUCUGCCCUGCAGAUUACCUUCAGGGAAGUCUGGUGUUGCUGCCCACGUCACUCCCAUGGGUGGCUGCCAGGUGUGAAGGCCAGGUCUGUGUCAGACUCAGAGAGGGAAGCCAGUUCUGAGACACCAUUAGCUGGGUAAGCAGAGCCUUUGUGGUGACAGCUCCUUGUUUACCUUAUGACCUCCCUGUAUGCAGGAGUUUUCUGUGACUGGCUCCUCCUCUUAAAUGAGGUGUGUUCAGGAUCCUACUACGUUUUGUCUCUUGUCUGAAUGAAAGUUAGCAUCAGUCUGUUGUUUUGAACUCAGUGCCGGGAAGAGUAGUUACAAAGGUCCCCAGAGUAGUUACAAAGGUCCCCUAAGAUGACUGACUCUGAGAUGUGAAUAUCAAGGCAGAAUUAUAUCAAGGUUGCUUGUAUUUAUUCUUUUCCUAAACAGUUUCUUGACUUUAAAAUGCCUUUGGAAUUUCCAACUCAAAAUUCUAAUCCCUUUCAGUGAGCUCAGUCUCCAUGCAAAACUU
rnacentral:lncRNA from 1 species